UAAAGUGGCGUACGGGUGAGUAACACGUGGAUUAUCUACCUCUUAGUGGGGAAUAACUCUGGGAAACCGGAGCUAAUACCGCAUAAGCCUGGAAAGGGAAAGCAGCAAUGCGCUGAGAGAGGAGUCCGCGGCCGAUUAGCUAGUUGGUGAGGUAACGGCCCACCAAGGCGAUGAUCGGUAGCCGGCCUGAGAGGGCACACGGCCACACUGGCACUGAAACACGGGCCAG
rnacentral:rRNA from 1 species